CCUACGGGAGGCAGCAGUGGGGCAUAUUGCACAAUGGGGGAAACCCUGAUGCAGCGACGCCGCGUGAGUGAAGAAGUAUUUCGGUACGUAAAGCUCUAUCAGCAGGGAAGAAAAAAAGUCCUUUUGACUUUGGACGGUACCUGACCAAGAAGCCCCGGCUAACUACGUGCCAGCCGCCGCGGUAAUACGUAGGGGGCAAGCGUUAUCCGGCUUUACUGGGUGUAAAGGGAGCGGAGACGGCAGCGCAAGUCUGGAGUGAAAUGCCGGGGCCCAACCCCGGAACUGCUUUGGAAACUGUGCAGCUGGAGUGCAGGAGAGGUAGGCGGAAUUCCUAGUGUAGCGGUGAAAUGCGUAGAUAUUAGGAGGAACACCAGUGGCGAAGGCGGCUUACUGGACUGUAACUGACGUUGAGGCUCGAAAGCGUGGGGAGCAAACAGGAUUAGAUACCCGAGUAGUC
rnacentral:rRNA from 1 species